rnacentral:rRNA from 1 species
AGCUCCAAUAGCGUAUAUUAAUGUUGUUGCAGUUAAAAAGCUCGUAGUUGGAUUUCUGGCAGGAGCAACCGGUCACACACUCUGUGUGUGAACUUGUGUUGUCUCUGGCCAUUCUUGGAGAGAUUCUGUUUGGCAUUAAGUUGUCGGGCAGGGGAUACCCAUCGUUUACUGUGAAAAAAAAUAGAGUGUCUAAAGCAGGCUUAUGCUGUUGAAUAUAUAAGUAUGGAAUAAUAAGAUAGGACUUCGGAACUAUUUUGUUGGUUUGUGUUACGAAGUAAUGAUUAAUAGGGACAGUUCGGGGUAUUCGUAUUUCGUUGUCAGAGGUGAAAUUCUUGGAUUUCUGAAAGACAAACUACUGCAAAAGCAUUUACCAAGGAUGUUUUUA